rfam:Dipodomys ordii contig_51320, whole genome shotgun sequence.
GUCUAUGGCCAUACCACCCUGAAUGCGCCCGAUCUCAUCUGAUCUCGGAAGCUAAGCAGGGUCGGGCCUGGUUAGUACUUGGAUGGGACACAAUAGAUAGAAGUACAAAUUAGGCC